UAUUUCUUUCUACUGCUUUGAGUUUAAUUGGUAUUUUUUCUGACUUUUUGAAGUGAAAGUCCAUAUGAUUAAUUUUCAGCUUUUCUCCAUUUCUAAUACAUAUGUUUAAACUUAUAUGAUUUUUGUAACAUUUUAUCUUCAUUGUAUAAGUUUUAACAAGAAUAUUUUAUCAUUUAAUUAAAUUUCAUUAUGAUUUCUUAUUUGAAUAAUGGAUUAUUUCAAAAUAUAUUUUUUAUUUUCCAAUGUAUGAGGGGAUCUACUAGUUAUCUUCUUGUUAAAAAAACUCUGGCUUAUACUGUCUGUUCAAUAUUUAGUACUUUGAAAUGUUUUGAAACUUGCUUGCUUUUUAAGGUUUGUAGAAUAUCUCUUCUAUAUUAUUUUUCUUUUAUUCUUGUUUUCUGGUUCAUAUGUCUUAACUAAUUUUACUGUAUCCUUUAAUCCCUUUUGCCCUUUUCUCUUUUUAUUCUCUUUUAGUCUCAAUACUUCAGUUGGUAAAUUUUCUUCUAAUUCUUUAUGCCUACCUUGCAGUUAAACGUAUUCAUUUAAUUAUUAAUUUCAGAUAUAUAUUUUUACCUAUAGAAUCUCUUUUUGACUUUUUAUUGUAUUCAUUUUACUGUAAAUCAUUCAAUCUUACCUUUUAGCUGUUUGAACAUAUUAAACAUAGUAAUUCAAAAAUCUCUAUGGGUAACUCCAGUAUAAGUAUGGGUUUGUUUCUAGUGUGUGCUUUUUCCUCUUGGUUGUCUAUCAUGUUGUUUCAUUUACCUCGAAACAUGAAUGUGUUUAUGAUGAAUGAGAGUCACUGAAUAUUUAAAAAAUCAUAGAGAUAUUUUGAAGCUGGAAGAAUGUUCUUUUCAUCCAGACAGGAUUUAUUUUGUUUCUGCUGUGCAGCUAUGGACACUAGCAAUUCUCAUUUACCUUAAUUCAAUCAAGGAUUGAGAAUACUGAAGUAUGAAAUUAACUCUGUCUGCUUCCAGUUCAUACUUCUUCUCUGUAGCUCUUUUCUUAAAAUUUUUUUUUUAAAUUUUAUUUCAAUAGCAUUUGGAGUAUAAGUGGUUUUUUUUUACAUGGAUGAAUUAUAUAGUGGUGAAUUCUGAGAUUUUAGUGCAUCCAUCAUACAAGUAGUGUACAUUCUAUCUAAUAUGCAGUUUUUUUAAUCCCUAGCUCCUCUUCCAGCCUCUCCUUUCUGAGUCUCUAAAGUCCAUCAUAUGAGUCUGUAUGCCUUUGUGUACUCAUAGCUUAGUUCCCACUUAUAAGUGAGAGCAUAUGGUUUUUGGUUUUCCCUGUAGCUCUUUAGAAUCCCAAACUGUAGCCUAAGGGAAAGGUUUCCAAGGUACUCUCCUUAUUGCACUCCAAAGUAUGAUUUUUAUCUCCCUAACUCUAUGAGUCUAGCAAACGCUUUGCUUAACUUUUCAGCAUCUCAAGUGCCUUUUCUGAAUUUGACAGAUACACGUCAGAAAUGUGCUCCCAAAUGCCUAGCUUAUCUCUCUUUAUUAACUUCUCCAAAUCUUUGCCAAUAGCUAUAUGUCUUAACUGCCUUGUUUCCUCUUUAGAGCUUUGUAACACAUGUAUUUUUAUAGUUUAUCCUGCUUUUCCAGUUUUUUUCAUUGAAAUAAUUGUUAUAAUGACCAAUAGUCUAGUAUGCUGCUGUAAGACUUCUAUAGCUGUUAUCUCCUUUCAUAUUUCAAUUUCUUUAUGUGCUUUUUUUUGCAUGAAUUCCUAGGCUCCAUUUUCUAAUUCAUACGUUGGCAAAUGAUGAAAGUGAUAUGACGAUGAUGACCUCUGUUCCAGCCAUAUACAUUUUAAAGGAAAUUUUAUUGGAACACAGUCAUGCUCUCUUGUUUACAUAUUAUCUAUGACUUCUUUUGUAUUACAGUGGCAAAGUUGAGUAAUUGUGGAAGAGACCAUAUGGUCUACAAAGGCUAAAAUAUUUACUAUCUUGUUCAUUAUGAAAAAGUUUGCUGACUCCUACUGAGAUUUAUUUUUUCUUUAUUCUUUAACUUUCUGAAGUUUGUCAAUUGAUUUAAAAAUUUUAAUGACUUUUCCUUUCUAAAUUAUAUAUUUUUAUAUCUAACAUUAUUCUGCCAUUUCUAUAUUUUUUGCUAUAUUUUUUGCCUUAACCAAAUAAGUGUUUUAAUUGAGUCAGUGAAGAAAGAACUCACUGAAAGUAGAAGUGGAAACCUAAGCUAUAAGCUACUAUAUUAUAUAAGCUUCUCAACCUAUAAUUGUUUUUCCAUUAGAUAUAGAACAAUGGAAGUGACAACAAGAUUGACAUGGAAUGAUGAAAAUCAUCUGUGCAAGCUGCUUGGAAAUGUUUCUUUGAGUCUUCUCUAUAAGUCUAGUGUUCAUGGAGGUAGCAUUGAAAAUAUGGUUGAAAGAUGCAGCCAUCAGGGAUGUACUAUAACAAUGACUUACAUUGAUGACAAUAUGAUUGUAGCCUUUAUGCUUGGAAAUUAUAUUAAUUUACAUGAAAGUUCUACAGAGCCAAAUGAUUCCCUAUGGUUUUCACUUCAAAAGAAAAAUGACACCACUGAAAUAGAAACUCUACUCUUAAAUACAGCACCAAAAAUUAUUGAUGAACAACUGGUGUGUCGUUUAUCGAAAAAGGAUAUUUUCAUUUUAUGUCGAGAUAAUAAAAUUUAUCUAGAUAAAAUGAUAACAAGAAACUUGAAACUAAGGUUUUAUGGCUACCAUCAGUAUUUGGAACGUGAAGUUUUUCGAGUUGAAGGUACGUAAAAUUAGAUAAUCCUACAUCUCACAUUAUGAUUCUAAUCCUUGUGUUCGGUAGGUAAUAAUUGAUCUACAAGAGCAAGGAAAGUGAAAGGAACAGUUAGAUUCAUGCCAAUUUAUACUCUUUGAUAAAUUCUGAAAUGAAACGUGGGGAACAUAAGGAUUAUGAGGUUUUUAUCCAGAAUGUAUAGGCUGCUUUGAGCAAAGCAAGUUGAGAAAUAUAUGUGCAGAGAUAGAGAUGACAAAGGAGAUGGGGAUGUGGAGAGAGAGAGAUCUUAUCAUCAGAGCUGCUCUGUUUUGACAUAUGACCCAAAGAUCAGACCCUUAUAACAUAUGACCCUUAGAACUUCUAGGUGUAAUUGUGUGAGAGCUUCCAGAGCAAGUUAAUGUGCAGAGAGGAUAAUUUUUCCUCCUCUUCCUCUCAUUAUGUUGCCAACUCUGACUCCUAACUGAGCAGCUCAGCCCUGGGUUAUGCAAGCAAACUCAAUGUCUUAUUUCAAAAGUAGACUUGGCCACAUUUAACCAGACAAGUUUUAAAAAUUUAUUAUGCUAUGAUUAUUUCCUAUAGGAAUUAAGGAUAACCUAGACGACACAAAGAGGAUAAUGAAAGCCAGAGAGCACAGAAAUAGGCUUCUAGCAGACAUCAGAGCCUACAAGCCCUAUGCAGACUUGGUUUCAGAAAUUCGUAUUCUUUUGGUGGGUCCAAUUGGGUCUGGAAAGUCCAGUUUUUUCAAUUCAGUCAAGUCUAUUUUUCAUGGCCAUGUGACUGGCCAAGCCAUAGUGGGGUCUGAUAUCACCAGCAUAACCGAACGGUAUAGGAUAUAUUCUGUUAAAGAUGGAAAAAAUGGAAAAUCUCUGCCAUUUAUGUUGUGUGACACUAUGGGGCUAGUUGGGGCAGAGGGAACAGGACUAUGCAUGGAUGACAUUCCCCACAUCUUAAAAGGUUGUAUGGCAGACAGAUAUCAGUUUAAUUCCCAUAAACCAAUUACACCUGAGCAUUCUACUUUUAUCACCUCUCCAUCUCUGAAGGACAGGAUUCACUGUGUGGCUUAUGUCUUAGACAUCAACUCUAUUGACAAUCUCUCCUCUAAAAUGUUGGCAAAAUUCAAGCAAGUUCACAAAGAAGUAUUAAAUUGUGGUAUAGCACAUGUGGCCUUGCUUAUUAAAGUGGAUGAUUGCAGUGAGGUUCUUCAAGACAACUUUUUAAACAUGAGUAGAUCUAUGACUUCUCAAAGCCAGGUCAUGAAUGUCCAUAAAAUGCUAGGUAUUCCUAUUUCCAAUAUUUUGAUGGUUGGAAAUUAUGCUUCAGAUUUGGAACUGGACCCCAUAAAGGAUAUUCUGAUCCUCUCUGCACUGAGGCAGAUGCUGCGGGCUGCAGAUGAUUUUUUAGAAGAUUUGCCUCUUGAGGAAACUGGUGCAAUUAAGAGAGUGUUACAGCCCAGCAUUUGAUAUAAGUUGCCUUGAUUCUGACAUUUGGUCCAGCCUGUACUAGUGUGCCUCAAUGAGAGUCAAUCUCUAUUGACAGCCUGCUUCAGAUUUUGCUUUUGUUCAUUUUGCCUUCUUUCCUUGGAACAGUCAUAUCUCAAGUUCAAAGGCCAAACCUGAGAAGUGGUGGGCUAAGAUAGGUCCUACUGCAAACCACCCCUCCAUAUUUCUGUACCAUUUACAAUUCAGUUUCUGUGACAUCUUUUUAAACCACUCCAGGAAAAAUGAGAUAUUCUCUAAUUUAUUCUUCUAUAACACUGUAUAUAGAGCUAUGUGAGUACUAAUCACAUUGAAUAAUAGUUACAAAAUUAUUGUAUAGACAUCUGCUUUCUUAAAUAGAUUGUGAGUUCUUUGAGAAACAGCGUGGAUUUUACUUAUAGAUGUAUUCACAGAACUUGGCACAGUGCCUGGUAAUGAGCAAGCAUACCUGCCACUACUUUUCCUUCCCACUCUCUCCAACAUCACAUUCACUUUAAAUUUUUCUGUAUAUAGAAAGGAAAACUAGCCUGGGCAACAUGAUGAAACCCCAUUUCCACUGCAAAAAAAAAAUAAAGAACAAAACAAACCCCAUAAAAAUUAGCUGGGUAUAAUGACACAUGCCUGUAGUCCCAGUUACUCAGGAUGAUUGAUUGAGCCUUGGAGGUGGAGGCUACAGUGAGCUGAGAUUGUGCCACUGCACUCUAGCCUGGGAGAAAGAGUGAGAUCCUGACUCAAAAAAACAAAAGAAAAUGAAACAAACAAACGAAAAACAGAAAGGAAGACUGAAAGAGAAUGAAAAGCUGGGGAGAGGAAAUAAAAAUAAAGAAGGAAGAGUGUUUCAGUUAUAUCUGAAUGAAAAUAUGAAUGACUCUAAGUAAUUGAAUUAAUUAAAAUAAGCCAACUUUUUUUUAACAAUUUACAUUUUAUUUCUAUGGAAAAAAUAAAUAUUCCUCUUCUAAAAAA
rnacentral:sRNA from 1 species